GUGCUCAUUUUGGCACACAUAUUCUAAAAUUGGAACAAUACAGAGCUUAGCAUGGUCCCUGCACAAGAUAACCCACAAAUUCAUGAAGUGUUCAAUAUUUUU